UAACACAUGCAAGUCGAGGGGCAGCAUGGUCUUAGCUUGCUAAGGCUGAUGGCGACCGGCGCACGGGUGAGUAACACGUAUCCAACCUGCCGUCUACUCUUGGCCAGCCUUCUGAAAGGAAGAUUAAUCCAGGAUGGCAUCAUGAGUUCACAUGUCCGCAUGAUUAAAGGUAUUUUCCGGUAGACGAUGGGGAUGCGUUCCAUUAGAUAGUAGGCGGGGUAACGGCCCACCUAGUCAACGAUGGAUAGGGGUUCUGAGAGGAAGGUCCCCCACAUUGGAACUGAGACACGGUCCAAACUCCUACGGGAGGCAGCAGUGAGGAAUAUUGGUCAAUGGGCGAUGGCCUGAACCAGCCAAGUAGCGUGAAGGAUGACUGCCCUAUGGGUUGUAAACUUCUUUUAUAAAGGAAUAAAGUCGGGUAUGCAUACCCGUUUGCAUGUACUUUAUGAAUAAGGAUCGGCUAACUCCGUGCCAGCAGCCGCGGUAAUACGGAGGAUCCGAGCGUUAUCCGGAUUUAUUGGGUUUAAAGGGAGCGUAGAUGGAUGUUUAAGUCAGUUGUGAAAGUUUGCGGCUCAACCGUAAAAUUGCAGUUGAUACUGGAUGUCUUGAGUGCAGUUGAGGCAGGCGGAAUUCGUGGUGUAGCGGUGAAAUGCUUAGAUAUCACGAAGAACUCCGAUUGCGAAGGCAGCCUGCUAAGCUGCAACUGACAUUGAGGCUCGAAAGUGUGGGUAUCAAACAGG
rnacentral:rRNA from 1 species